UACAGAGGGUGCGAGCGUUGUUCGGAAUUAUUGGGCGUAAAGCGCUUGUAGGCGGCACGUCAAGUCGCGUGUGAAAUCCCCAGGCUUAACCUGGGAAGUGCGCGCGAAACUGACGAGCUUGAGUGCCGGAGAGGAUCGUGGAAUUCUCGGUGUAGAGGUGAAAUUCGUAGAUAUCGAGAGGAACACCGAUGGCGAAGGCGGCGAUCUGGACGGUGACUGACGCUGAGACGCGAAAGCGUGGGGAGCAAACAGG
rnacentral:rRNA from 1 species